CGGAGCAUAGCUAAGAAGUAAAGCAUCUCUUUUACACUGAGAAGUCAUCUGUGCGAACCAGAUUGCCCCGAC
rnacentral:tRNA from 1 species